GUGGGGAAUCUUCCGCAAUGGACGAAAGUCUGACGGAGCAACGCCGCGUGAGUGAAGAAGGUUUUCGGAUCGUAAAGCUCUUUCGUUAGGGACGAACGUGCUCUUUGUGAAUAAUGAGGAGUAAUGACGGUACCUAAAUAAGAAGCCACGGCUAACUACGUGCCAGCAGCCGCGGUAAUACGUAGGUGGCAAGCGUUGUCCGGAAUGAUUGUGCGGAAAGCGCGCGCAGCCGGGAUAUCAAGUCUGUCUUAAAAGUGCGAGGCUCAAACGCGGGGUGGGACAGAGAGUGGUAUUCUUGAGUGUCGGAGAGGAAAGUGGAAUUCCAAGUGUAGCGGUGAAAUGCGUAGAGAUUUGGAAGAACACCAGUGGCGAAGGCGACUUUCUGGACGAAAGCUGACGCUGAGGCGCGAAAGCCAGGGGAGCGAACGGGAUUAGAUACCCAUGUAGUCC
rnacentral:rRNA from 1 species